rnacentral:ncRNA from 1 species
UUUUAUAAGAAUAUGAUGUUGGUUCAGAUUAAGCGCUAAAUAAGGACAUGACACAUGCGAAUCAUACGUUUAUUAUUGAUAAGAUAAUAAAUAUGUGGUGUAAACGUGAGUAAUUUUAUUAGGGAAUUAAUGAACUAUAGAAUAAGCUAAAUACUUAAUAUAUUAUUAUAUAAAAAUAAUUUAUAUAAUAAAAAGGAUAUAUAUAUAAUAUAUAUUUAUCUAUAGUCAAGCCAAUAAUGGUUUAGGUAGUAGGUUUAUUAAGAGUUAAACCUAGCCAACGAUCCAUAAUCGAUAAUGAAAGUUAGAACGAUCACGUUGACUCUGAAAUAUAGUCAAUAUCUAUAAGAUACAGCAGUGAGGAAUAUUGGACAAUGAUCGAAAGAUUGAUCCAGUUACUUAUUAGGAUGAUAUAUAAAAAUAUUUUAUUUUAUUUAUAAAUAUUAAAUAUUUAUAAUAAUAAUAAUAAUAAUAUAUAUAUAUAAAUUGAUUAAAAAUAAAAUCCAUAAAUAAUUAAAAUAAUGAUAUUAAUUACCAUAUAUAUUUUUAUAUGGAUAUAUAUAUUAAUAAUAAUAUUAAUUUUAUUAUUAUUAAUAAUAUAUUUUAAUAGUCCUGACUAAUAUUUGUGCCAGCAGUCGCGGUAACACAAAGAGGGCGAGCGUUAAUCAUAAUGGUUUAAAGGAUCCGUAGAAUGAAUUAUAUAUUAUAAUUUAGAGUUAAUAAAAUUAAUUAAAGAAUUAUAAUAGUAAAGAUGAAAUAAUAAUAAUAAUUAUAAGACUAAUAUAUGUGAAAAUAUUAAUUAAAUAUUAACUGACAUUGAGGGAUUAAAACUAGAGUAGCGAAACGGAUUCGAUACCCGUGUAGUUCUAGUAGUAAACUAUGAAUACAAUUAUUUAUAAUAUAUAUUAUAUAUAAAUAAUAAAUGAAAAUGAAAGUAUUCCACCUGAAGAGUACGUUAGCAAUAAUGAAACUCAAAACAAUAGACGGUUACAGACUUAAGCAGUGGAGCAUGUUAUUUAAUUCGAUAAUCCACGACUAACCUUACCAUAUUUUGAAUAUUAUAAUAAUUAUUAUAAUUAUUAUAUUACAGGCGUUACAUUGUUGUCUUUAGUUCGUGCUGCAAAGUUUUAGAUUAAGUUCAUAAACGAACAAAACUCCAUAUAUAUAAUUUUAAUUAUAUAUAAUUUUAUAUUAUUUAUUAAUAUAAAGAAAGGAAUUAAGACAAAUCAUAAUGAUCCUUAUAAUAUGGGUAAUAGACGUGCUAUAAUAAAAUGAUAAUAAAAUUAUAUAAAAUAUAUUUAAUUAUAUUUAAUUAAUAAUAUAAAACAUUUUAAUUUUUAAUAUAUUUUUUUAUUAUAUAUUAAUAUGAAUUAUAAUCUGAAAUUCGAUUAUAUGAAAAAAGAAUUGCUAGUAAUACGUAAAUUAGUAUGUUACGGUGAAUAUUCUAACUGUUUCGCACUAAUCACUCAUCACGCGUUGAAACAUAUUAUUAUCUUAUUAUUUAUAUAAUAUUUUUUAAUAAAUAUUAAUAAUUAUUAAUUUAUAUUUAUUUAUAUCAGAAAUAAUAUGAAUUAAUGCGAAGUUGAAAUACAGUUACCGUAGGGGAACCUGCGGUGGGCUUAUAAAUAUC